CAGUAGCCGCGGGAAUACGUAGGUGGCGAGCGUUGUCCGGAAUCAUUGGGCGUAAAGGGAGCGCAGGCGGGCAUGUAAGUCUUUCUUAAAAGUGCGGGGCUCAACCCCGUGAUGGGAAAGAAACUACAUGUCUUGAGUACAGGAGAGGAAAGCGGAAUUCCCAGUGUAGCGGUGAAAUGCGUAGAUAUUGGGAGGAACACCAGUGGCGAAGGCGGCUUUCUGGACUGCAACUGACGCUGAGGCUCGAAAGCCAGGGGAGCGAACGGGAUUAGAUACCCCAGUAGUCCCUGUCUCUUAUACC
rnacentral:rRNA from 1 species